rnacentral:lncRNA from 1 species
UCUCAAGUUUAAACCUAUGAAUAUGAAAAUGAGUCCCAUUAGUUUUAAAGGUUUGAAUCUUUUAAAGAGAGUUUCUUCUCUUAAAUUCAUGUGCUUUUUGUAAAGGUAUGAUAGCAAAGUUGAGAGUUGAUAACAAGUUUCCAUUGAGGGAGUCCUCCAAGACUUGGAUAUGCAUACAUCUACCCUUGGUGUUUUUUUCU